CACCGCAGCUGGCAGCAGCGAUCGCUACCCCGGGGACAGACUAGCGAAGGGGCGGGAGCGGAGCAGCCUUCCAGGGACGAGAGAGGGUCUGGGGAGGUGGGUGACGCCUCCCUGGGUGGCACUGCCUGGUUCUUACCCUCCCGCCCGGCCAGUCCGGCGUCUCGCACCACUCGCGUCACAAACUCCCCUGAAAGCCCGCAGGCGCCGCGUACCUGGAGCGGCGGCUGUGCGUGUGCGCGCGGAGCGAGCUGCACAAGGCAUCGGAAAGUUUCCUACCACUUGAGGAUGAAGUGCAAGUAUUGCUUCCUGGGGGGGAAGAAAGGACCAGAAGUCUCUCAGGAGAACUUCGCUCUUGGCUUCCCCACUGGUCUCCCCAAACACAAACUCUUCCCCGGGCCGAGAGCAACGACCUGAGGCCACCUGGGAAUGCACCCUGAGGACGCGAACUCAGUGGACCUUAGGACAAAAAUGACCACGUCCCUUUUUCACUAAAGGAGACCCACUGACCUAGACCCAGCAGCCAAGCUAAGGCCAAAGAUGUACAGAUUUUGCCUUAAAACGCAUAGCUUUUUUUAAAUGCCUCCACCACCGAGAGCUGCGCGCUGCGGGUGUCAGCCUCCUCCGCCCCGAGUCCGUCCACAGCGCCUACCCGUGGCCCCCAAGCCCCUCUGGAGAACAGAUCUUAGGGAGUGACGAGAAGCCUUCACCUGUGAUGCCCAGCCGCCGCCAAACCUAAGCCAGAAAGCCUAGAACGUGGGACCCAGUUCAACGUUUGUCUUCAUCCAUCCAUCCAUGCAUCCAUCCAUUUCUGCAUGCAUACAUACAUACGAUUUGAAAAAAAUCCGUGCACAGAUGCACGGAGAGUUGUCCCUUGCCCUGGCGAGGGCCUGAGAACGCUCCCCCUAUCCGGUCUCCCCUCCCACCAAGCCGGGUCCCCUCCCCAAGGGGAGAACAGCUCAAUUACGAAAAGGAGCGAAGAGAAGAGGUCCCGGGCGCCCGCUGGUGCUACUCCGGUCCCCAUCCCUGUCACGCGGUCCCCACCCCCUCCGUCCUUAGCCCGGGGAGGGCGGGGACGCGGCUGGACGCGGGUUCUGCCCGGCUCCCACUGAACAAAGCCCGCCGCGGGAGCCGGUGGCUGCGCGCACCGUGCUGGUGACAAAGGCGGGCGGGCGGCGCCGAGCUGAAAGCCCCAGCUCCCUUGGCCCAGUGAGAGGCAAACCCUGGAGAUGGGUGCGAUUUACACCCGGUUUCUAGUGACCUGUGCGGAUGACUCAGCAUUCGAGGGUUCUUUUCCCCCACCCCUGUUUCUCUCCUAUCUUUUUCUAUCUCCAGUUUCCUGUCCGCUUUUUUUUUCUUUCUUUCUUUCUCCACUUCACUCCUUUCACCUUCUUCUCACUUGGCCUUUUUUUACCUCGCGGUCCCUUUUUCUUGUACUUGAGGUGGUUGGGGGAGGGAGGGAAGAGACAAUGCUAACUCGACUCCUGCAGGCCUUUCCGUGUUCUGAAAGACCUUGCUGGGCAGCAUUUGGAGAGAGCAGGAGAGUAAAGGAUCCUUGUAAUUGUAUUAUGCAAACUGCGCUCUAAAUAAAAUAAAUGUCGUUAGAAUGCGA